GCUUAUCUUCUAAGUCAUGGUUCUAACUUCUGAUUGUCUGUUUUGCAUUAGAUUCUUCUGGCAACGACGUCUACAGAUGGAAAAUGUCGGGUAUUUUCAACAUUCAUCAAAGGAGUUGACACAAAGGAUUCAAAAGCAGGCUCACCAGCGGAAUCUAAAUUCGGGGAGGUUUGUUUUCUUUGGCAGGCUUCCUCGUUUUAGUAAUUUUCUCACCCUCUCCUUUACUUUGUUGAUGACGUUGGCCCUUCUCCUUUAGCCCAAAGCUUUGCAUUUCGAGAUUUGCCUCUUCGUGAUGUGGGUGCUCUUUAUUUCUGAGAAAAUGGUGAUAAGCGUUGGUUAUGACAGCAACCCAAUGGUAUUUGCUGCAGAUGAUACUGGAAUAUGUUUUCAGAAGCCUUUACGAAAUUCUACGGUCAGUCAAAGGCUACAACAGCCAAUGAAGCUUCUGAGUCCUCUAAAUCACGUGGAAGCGUUCAUGAUAACUGCAUAAAUUCCAUUGUAUCUCUUAGCAAAGCUGGGAGUCCUCAAGUAAUGCGAUUCAGCACUUCAGGAUUAGAUGGCAAAAUAGCUAUAUGGGAUCUAGGGAACAUGCAAGAAGAACUUGGCCAUCAGUUUUAAUAAACACAUAAAUAAAAACAAAUCUGGAUUUACUUAAUUUGUAUAUCAGAUUCUUUUGUUUUUCCCAGUAUUUUGUAAGCAUUGACAAUUUCUUAAUUGUUUCACUUUGUAAACUUAUAAUAAUAAAGUUUGGAACUGUAUCCUCA